rnacentral:rRNA from 1 species
UACGGAGGGGGCUAGCGUUGUUCGGAAUUACUGGGCGUAAAGCGCGCGUAGGCGGACCUGCAAGUCGGGGGUGAAAGCCCGAGGCUCAACCUCGGAACUGCCUUCGAUACUGCGGGUCUCGAGUCCGGGAGAGGUGAGUGGAAUUCCUAGUGUAGAGGUGAAAUUCGUAGAUAUUGGGAGGAACACCAGUGGCGAAGGCGGCUCACUGGACCGGAACUGACGCUGAUGCGCGAAAGCGUGGGGAGCAAACGGG